rnacentral:rRNA from 2 species
GGGUUGUGAGGUUAAGCGACUAAGCGUACACGGUGGAUGCCCUGGCAGUCAGAGGCGAUGAAGGGCGUGCUAAUCUGCGAUAAGCGCCGGUAAGGUGAUAUGAACCGUUAUAACCGGCGAUACCCGAAUGGGGAAACCCAGUGUGAUUCGUCACACUAUCAUUAACUGAAUCCAUAGGUUAAUGAGGCGAACCGGGGGAACUGAAACAUCUAAGUACCCCGAGGAAAAGAAAUCAACCGAGAUUCCCCCAGUAGCGGCGAGCGAACGGGGAGGAGCCCAGAGCCUGAAUCAGCAUGUGUGUUAGUGGAAGCGUCUGGAAAGGCGCGCGAUACAGGGUGACAGCCCCGUACACAAAAGCGCAUGUGCUGUGAGCUCGAUGAGUAGGGCGGGACACGUGGUAUCCUGUCUGAAUAUGGGGGGACCAUCCUCCAAGGCUAAAUACUCCUGACUGACCGAUAGUGAACCAGUACCGUGAGGGAAAGGCGAAAAGAACCCCGGCGAGGGGAGUGAAAAAGAACCUGAAACCGUGUACGUACAAGCAGUGGGAGCACCCUUUGGGGUGUGACUGCGUACCUUUUGUAUAAUGGGUCAGCGACUUAUAUUCUGUAGCAAGGUUAACCGUAUAGGGGAGCCGGAGGGAAACCGAGUCUUAAUUGGGCGUUAAGUUGCAGGGUAUAGACCCGAAACCCGGUGAUCUAGCCAUGGGCAGGUUGAAGGUUGGGUAACACUAACUGGAGGACCGAACCGACUAAUGUUGAAAAAUUAGCGGAUGACCUGUGGCUGGGGGUGAAAGGCCAAUCAAACCGGGAGAUAGCUGGUUCUCCCCGAAAGCUAUUUAGGUAGCGCCUCGUGAAUUCAUCUCCGGGGGUAGAGCACUGUUUCGGCUAGGGGGCCAUCCCGGCUUACCAACCCGAUGCAAACUGCGAAUACCGGAGAAUGUUAUCACGGGAGACACACGGCGGGUGCUAACGUCCGUCGUGAAGAGGGAAACAACCCAGACCGCCAGCUAAGGUCCCAAAGUCAUGGUUAAGUGGGAAACGAUGUGGGAAGGCCCAGACAGCCAGGAUGUUGGCUUAGAAGCAGCCAUCAUUUAAAGAAAGCGUAAUAGCUCACUGGUCGAGUCGGCCUGCGCGGAAGAUGUAACGGGGCUAAACCAUGCACCGAAGCUGCGGCAGCGACGCUGAUGCGUUGUUGGGUAGGGGAGCGUUCUGUAAGCCUGUGAAGGUGUGUCGUGAGGCAUGCUGGAGGUAUCAGAAGUGCGAAUGCUGACAUAAGUAACGAUAAAGCGGGUGAAAAGCCCGCUCGCCGGAAGACCAAGGGUUCCUGUCCAACGUUAAUCGGGGCAGGGUGAGUCGACCCCUAAGGCGAGGCCGAAAGGCGUAGUCGAUGGGAAACGGGUUAAUAUUCCCGUACUUGGUGUUACUGCGAAGGGGGGACGGAGAAGGCUAUGUUGGCCGGGCGACGGUUGUCCCGGUUUAAGCGUGUAGGCUGGUUUUCCAGGCAAAUCCGGAAAAUCAAGGCUGAGGCGUGACGACGAGGCACUACGGUGCUGAAGCAACAAAUGCCCUGCUUCCAGGAAAAGCCUCUAAGCAUCAGGUAACAUCAAAUCGUACCCCAAACCGACACAGGUGGUCAGGUAGAGAAUACCAAGGCGCUUGAGAGAACUCGGGUGAAGGAACUAGGCAAAAUGGUGCCGUAACUUCGGGAGAAGGCACGCUGACACGUAGGUGAAGUGAUUUACUCAUGGAGCUGAAGUCAGUCGAAGAUACCAGCUGGCUGCAACUGUUUAUUAAAAACACAGCACUGUGCAAACACGAAAGUGGACGUAUACGGUGUGACGCCUGCCCGGUGCCGGAAGGUUAAUUGAUGGGGUCAGCGCAAGCGAAGCUCCUGAUCGAAGCCCCGGUAAACGGCGGCCGUAACUAUAACGGUCCUAAGGUAGCGAAAUUCCUUGUCGGGUAAGUUCCGACCUGCACGAAUGGCGUAAUGAUGGCCAGGCUGUCUCCACCCGAGACUCAGUGAAAUUGAACUCGCUGUGAAGAUGCAGUGUACCCGCGGCAAGACGGAAAGACCCCGUGAACCUUUACUAUAGCUUGACACUGAACAUUGAGCCUUGAUGUGUAGGAUAGGUGGGAGGCUUUGAAGUGUGGACGCCAGUCUGCAUGGAGCCGACCUUGAAAUACCACCCUUUAAUGUUUGAUGUUCUAACGUGGACCCGUUACCCGGGUUGCGGACAGUGUCUGGUGGGUAGUUUGACUGGGGCGGUCUCCUCCUAAAGAGUAACGGAGGAGCACGAAGGUUGGCUAAUCCUGGUCGGACAUCAGGAGGUUAGUGCAAUGGCAUAAGCCAGCUUGACUGCGAGCGUGACGGCGCGAGCAGGUGCGAAAGCAGGUCAUAGUGAUCCGGUGGUUCUGAAUGGAAGGGCCAUCGCUCAACGGAUAAAAGGUACUCCGGGGAUAACAGGCUGAUACCGCCCAAGAGUUCAUAUCGACGGCGGUGUUUGGCACCUCGAUGUCGGCUCAUCACAUCCUGGGGCUGAAGUAGGUCCCAAGGGUAUGGCUGUUCGCCAUUUAAAGUGGUACGCGAGCUGGGUUUAGAACGUCGUGAGACAGUUCGGUCCCUAUCUGCCGUGGGCGCUGGAGAACUGAGGGGGGCUGCUCCUAGUACGAGAGGACCGGAGUGGACGCAUCACUGGUGUUCGGGUUGUCAUGCCAAUGGCACUGCCCGGUAGCUAAAUGCGGAAGAGAUAAGUGCUGAAAGCAUCUAAGCACGAAACUUGCCCCGAGAUGAGUUCUCCCUGAGACUUUAGGUCUCCUGAAGGAACGUUGAAGACGACGACGUUGAUAGGCCGGGUGUGUAAGCGCAGCGAUGCGUUGAGCUAACCGGUACUAAUGAACCGUGAGGCUUAACCUUACAACGCCGAAGCUGUU